GACGAACGCUGGCGGUGCGCCUUAUGCAUGCAAGUCGAGCGAAGCUUUUCAGUAGUUUACUACAGAAAAUGACUGAGCGGCGAACGGGUGAGUAACGCGUGAGCAAUCUACCUUAGUUACAGGGAUAGCCCGAGGAAACUCGGAUUAAUACCUGAUAUUCUUUAUAUUUCGCAUGAAAUUAAAAGGAAAGGUCAGCCGAACUAAGAUGAGCUCGCGUUCUAUCAGCUAGUUGGUGAGGUAAAAGCUCACCAAGGCUACGACGGAUAGCUGGUCUGAGAGGACGAUCAGCCACACUGGGACUGAGACACGGCCCAGACUCCUACGGGAGGCUGCAGCAGGGAAUAUUGCGCAAUGAGCGAAAGCUUGACGCAGCGACACCGCGUGUGGGAUGACGGAUCUAGGUUUGUAAACCACUUUCAGGAGGGAAGAAAAUGACGGUACCUCCACAAGAAGCCCCGGCCAACUACGUGCCAGCAGG
rnacentral:rRNA from 1 species